GACGAACGCUGGCGGCGUGCUUAACACAUGCAAGUCGAACGGAAAGGCCCUGCUUUUGUGGGGUGCUCGAGUGGCGAACGGGUGAGUAACACGUGAGUAACCUGCCCUUGACUUUGGGAUAACUUCAGGAAACUGGGGCUAAUACCGGAUAGGAGCUCCUGCUGCAUGGUGGGGGUUGGAAAGUUUCGGCGGUUGGGGAUGGACUCGCGGCUUAUCAGCUUGUUGGUGGGGUAGUGGCUUACCAAGGCUUUGACGGGUAGCCGGCCUGAGAGGGUGACCGGCCACAUUGGGACUGAGAUACGGCCCAGACUCCUACGGGAGGCAACAGUGGGGAAUAUUGCACAAUGGGCGGAAGCCUGAUGCAGCAACGCCGCGUGCGGGAUGACGGCCUUCGGGGUGUAAACCGCUUUCGCCUGUGACGAAGCGUGAGUGACGGUAAUGGGUAAAGAAGCACCGGCUAACUACGUG
rnacentral:rRNA from 1 species